rnacentral:rRNA from 1 species
AUGUGUGUUCCUAAAAAUCAAGGAGGCAUGGGAUUUCAUGAUAUUCAUUGUUUCAACUUGGCAUUGCUCGCUAAACAAACGUGGCGUCUUCUGGAUAACCCUGAUUCUUUGUGUGCUUCUAUCUUAAGGGCAAAGUACUACCCUGAUGGUGACUUGAUGAACGCUAAACAAAGGAAAGGCUCUUCUUUUACAUGGCAGAGUAUUAUGGCAGGCAUCGUUACCCUGAAAAGAGGCUAUAUCUGGUGA